UAGUCUCAGUUCGGAUUGGAGUCUGCAACCCGACUCCAUGAAGCUGGAUUCGCUAGUAAUCGCGCAUCAGCCACGGCGCGGUGAAUACGUUCCCGGGCCUUGUACACACCGCCCGUCAAGCCAUGGAAGCCGGGAGUGCCUGAAGUGCGUGAGCGCAAGCAGCGCCCUAAGGUAAAACCGGUGACUGGGGCUAAGUCGUAACAAGGUACC
rnacentral:rRNA from 1 species